rnacentral:rRNA from 1 species
UACGUAGGGUGCAAGCGUUGUCCGGAAUUAUUGGGCGUAAAGAGCUUGUAGGCGGUUUGUCGCGUCUGCUGUGAAAUUUCGGGGCUCAACCCCGAACUUGCAGUGGGUACGGGCAGACUAGAGUGUGGUAGGGGGAGACUGGAAUUCCUGGUGUAGCGGUGGAAUGCGCAGAUAUCAGGAAGAACACCAAUGGCGAAGGCAGCUCUCUGGGACGGUACUGACACUGAGACGCGAAAGCGUGGGGAGCGAACAGG